rnacentral:sRNA from 1 species
CGGGAGCUUUCCCCGGGCGU